CCUUCGCUAAGCCCCGCCCUCCUUAGUUACUGUUGCUACGCCUGACAAGCGUCCGCGCCUGGCACGUCUAUUACAGUAUGUAUGCACCGGUGUCAGACAUUCCCAAGGAGAUAAUUAGUCAUUUUUGGCGAACAGGUGAAAUAUCUGAGAAAGCAAGACAAAAGGGACUGCAGUAUGCAUUCGAGGGAUAUAUCCACGACAUAAUAUGCAACCGAUUAGAGAAUAAUUUCAUCAAAAUUGAAGCUAAAGCCUAUAGGUCCCAGCGCAAGCAGCAGCCGCCUCAUACGCUGACCAUUCAAAUGGGAAACACACAAAUUGAGGAACAGCUAUGUUCAUGCACAGCAGGCGCUAGGCUACUGCUCACACGUCGUGGGUCUAAUCUACGCCUUGGACCUGGCAAGAGCCAGAGAUGCUGAGCUGAGCCAUACAUCAUCAACAACACAAACAAAGUCCUCCUGCACGAGUCUACCACAACAGUGGCAAAAGCCAACGGGUAACAAAAUAAGGGCAGUGCCAAUAUCAUCGGUAGUUGUCGCUAAAGCCAAUGAAAACCGUAUGCGGCGACCAAUCGACUGUCGGUAUGCAGGAAGCAGGACCUUCUCAGGUACAGAGGAGAAAAUUGCUUUAUUAAAAAGGCAGACAGGAGCACCCAUCAGCUACUUGGUAAACAGACCCCCUGUUGACAUAACUGUAGGAGGAGAGAGAUACCCACUAGGAAGUGGUUUGAGCCAUCAGGGCAGUGCAGGACAGUGCACCACGUCAGCGUGAUCUUCCUUGACCACUCUGUAAACGGAUGUUAAAUCUGAAGGCUAGGUCUUUGUGGUCCAAAUUUUGUCUUAAUUUCAUUAAGGUCAGUAACAAUUGAGUACGCAGUGAAAGUUGUUUGAUCUCAUUAUUGACACGUUUGUAUGAGAGAGGAAUGUGUGUUUGUGGUGCACUUGGAUCAGUUGGAAUGUUAAAAAAUUGACACAAGCUGUUAAAUUGCUCAUAAGAAAACCCUGUGCAGUAGUGGAAAUAAUCAGGCACAUGGCUUUGGUUUAAAAUCUCAGGGUUUAAAGCAUCUGAGGUGUGUGCAUACUGAAGUUCCUUUUGAAGAUGAUGGAGUUGGCCAUCCUUUGCCUCGAGUUGAAGCUUCAGAUUUAUGAUGUCCUGCUUGUGAUUGGCUAAUGCGUCCUGCAGAGUUCUCAGUUCCUCUCCAUGGUCGCCCAUAUCAUGUUCUUCUGUAAAUGACAAAAAAGAGAAAGGAAACAUGGAAUGUUACUAAUUUAUGUUAUUUUCUUCUGUUUAACAGCUUCCUCUCCUUGACUCUGCAGGACCAUCAUCUGCGAACCAGCCGUCAAACGACUUCCCGGAUUUCCCUCUGCCAACACAGCCGUCAAAUU